UACAGAGGUCUCAAGCGUUUGUUCGGAUUCAUUGGGCGUAAAGGGUGCGUAGGUGGCGUCGUAAGUCGGGUGUGAAAUUUCGGAGCUUAACUCCGAAACUGCAUUCGAUACUGCGGUGCUUGAGGACUGGAGAGGAGACUGGAAUUUACGGUGUAGCAGUGAAAUGCAUAGAGAUCGUAAGGAAGACCAGUGGCGAAGGCGGGUCUCUGGACAGUUCCUGACACUGAGGCACGAAGGCCAGGGGAGCAAACGGG
rnacentral:rRNA from 1 species